CUCAUGUACUGAUGUUUUAAAUAAAUAAAGGCAUUUAGUUCAUCAUAUGCUGCAUCUUAUUUUGAUGAACCCCAUAAAUUAGGGCUAUGGUUUUAGGGUUAUGAUGCGAUCAUACCAAGUGAGACCUAAAAUCUUAAAACUCUAAUUUUAAAUAUUCCUAGUCGUUGGAACAUUGAGUAGGAGAUCAAUGUUUCCGAUAAGACUGGUACAUCCUGUGUAUGCUCGGUAGAGAGGGUAAUUGAUCUCACAAUUACUUGUGUAUGACACUAAUAUAAGGAUGUAAGUGUUCAUUAGAGAAUGAAUUCACUGAAUUGAUCCAAUUAAAGAAUAUCUGAUGGAGUCUUAUCUACAUGUUAACAGAUUUUUUCUCAUAGUGGGAAUUGUGCAUGUAAAUCUUUUGACCUGAGACUGCCAUAGAACCUUAUAAGCAUGAAUCCA
rnacentral:lncRNA from 1 species